CUACGGGGCGCUCCAGUUAGGAAUAUUCUGCAAUGCGCGCAAGCGUGACAGAUUGAGCCAGAGUGCUUUUCAUAAUGAAAAGCUUUUGCCAAAUGUAAAAAGUUUGGCGAAUAAGGACUGGGUAAGACAGGUGCCAGCCGCCGCGGUAAUACCUGCGGUCCAAGUCGCAGCCAUUUUUAUUGGGUCUAAAACAUCCGUAGCUUGUUUGAUAAGUUUCUUGUGAAAUUUCAUAUCUUAAAUAUGGAGCGGGCAAGAAGAACUGUCAAGCUAGAGACUGGAAGACGUAAGAAGUACGUUUGGAGUAGCGGUAAAAUGUGUUAAUCCUAGACGGACUAACAAUAGCGAAGGCAUCUUACGAGGACAGUUCUGACAGUAAGGGAUGAAGGCUAGGGGCGCAAAACGGGUUAGAUACCCGGGUAGUC
rnacentral:rRNA from 1 species